ACACAAUGACAAAUCAGACAAACUGGAAGAGGUAGGUAUAGUUUGAGACAGCGCCAUUGGUUUGGGAUUACUCACCGCUGACUGGACCACUGGAGCUGAUUAAUAACUGCUGCUAUUAAAGUGUUGACACGCGUUGGUGAUUGGAGUUACUUUGCACAAAGUGUAAAUAGAUAGUAAGCGCAAUUCAUACAAUAAAUUUAAACUGAGCUACUUUAAGACCAUCUUCGAACUUUCUACCAUGACUCUGCUGUUCUUUCUGUAUACAUUGAUUGCCAGAUGUUUUUUCCAGUCAGCGGUGAGUAAUCCCAAACUAAUGGUGCUUGUUCAAACUAUACCUACCUCUUCCAGUUUGUCUGAUUUGUCUUUGUGUUUUCUGACUUGUUAUUUUGUUUUCGAAUUUGUCAUUGUAUUUUCUGUCUUGUUAUAAUGUUUUCAGAAUUGUUGUUGUGUUUUCUGAAUUGUUAUUUUGUUUUUUUAGAUUUGCAUUUGCGUUUGUAAUUUGUUAUUUUGUUUCAGAAUUGUAAUCUGUUUUGCACUUUUUCGGCCUCAGUACCUUAAUCCAGAAAUUAAAAUUUACAUCAAAUGAAACAUGAAUGUAUGAAUUUUCUGAAAUGCAAUAACUUAACCACUCUUCCUUUUCAUUUCAGAUGAUCUCCACAUGGAGUUGAUUUAGAUCUGAAGUGUGCCAGGUUUCUAAUGUCCACAUUCUGUUAAAGUAUUUAUUGUCUCAAAUGUCUUAUUUCUACAGCUUGAGAUUGGAAGGUUUGUUGGGAGCCCUUCGUCUCUCUUGGCAGCAGACAAGUGUGACGGCACGUUUUUGCGCACAUCCAAGAACCUUCAGUCCUGCCUACUGAUACCUCGAUCUGGUCUCACUCAGCCAUCUUGUUCUUCAUAAAUUUUUCACCAUGCUGUGAUCAAAGCUCACCACUGUAUUUGUGUUCUGUUGUAAUGGCCAAGGUUGUAACAUGAAAACCUACUUAAAAUUAUGAUCCAUCCUAUAUCAGGCUUACUGUUGACAUGGCUUUUUCUGUGUGGGCUUUUAACAUGAUUGAUUUAUUUUGUUUAAACGGGCAGGAAGGUGUAGGAAUGUUUGGUGCUGUAGGCGUGUCAGUGGGUGAUCUGCAUUUAUAUGCCGUGCACUUGUCUCAAUAGUGCAGCCAGGCCAUGCAGCUGUUUUUUUUUUUUUUUUGAGAGAUAGAUAUGAGCUAAAGUCACUUCUACAUCAUGAAAAUAAAAUAAAAACUUUCUUCAAUUAAAAACUAUUUAAUAAAAAUACAUACUGUGCAGAAGUGGGUGUUUUCAAUUAUUCUCUAUAAAAGCUGAUCAGGGAUCUUCUGCAGAGGAUUGUGGGUUUGAACGUGGGGUGAAGAAAGUGUUGAGAGCAUCCAGAAAUUAAGGGUGCAUUCACACCUGUCUUGUUUGGUUCGAUUGAAUCGAACUCAAGUUUGUUUCCCCCCUUGAUGCAGAUCUCACUCGGGUGUGGACCAAACAACUGCACCGAGACCCAGCUGAAGAGGUAGUCUCGGUCCACUUCCAAAUGAACUCUGGGAAAUACUACACUGGUGCCGAAACCCGGGAGUGGAAAGAGAAUGACGUCGCCACGAUGCAAACACCUUCAGGACCAUCGGGAUCGCCAUUUGCAGAGAUCAUCACAUCGCUCGUGGGUCUACAUCAAGAAAACCACCAAGACCUGCUGGACUUGCGGGCGGACCAGGACCAUCGGUUCCAAGCCCUGAUGCAAGCCCAGCAGGAGGACCACAAGCUGUUCCGGAGCUUGCUGGACCGGGAGGUUCAGACGAGGUCGGCUUCCCCCAGUUUCAUCCCCCCCACUCACAUGUCUCUCACCAAGAUGGGGCCCGCGGAUGACCCAGAGGCUUUCCUGGACUUGUUUGAGAGGAUGGCCGAGGCAUGUGAGUGGGCAUCGACCAGCUGGCCAGUGCGGUUGAUUCCGCUGCUGUUGGGGGAAGCCCAGAAGGCUGCCCAACAACUGCCCAUCCAAAACCUCCUAGUGUACGCAGACUUAAAAUGGGCAAUCCUCCAGAGGGUCGGCCUCAGUCCAGAACAGCACCAUCAAUGCUUCCGAUCAUUGGAAUUGACGGAAGCAGGCCGACCCUUUGUCUUGGCCCAGCAGCUCUGGGACUCGUGCCGCAAAUGGCUGUUGGCCGGAGGAAGCGAUGCCGAGGCCAUCCUCGACAAGGUGGUACUGGAGCAGUUCGUCUCCUGUCUGCCGAGGAGGAAGGCCCAGUGGGUCCAGUGCCACCAGCCGGCGUCGAUGGAUCUGGCCAUCCAACUGGCGGAGGACCAGUUGGUGGCAUGCUCCGGUGUCGGCCAACCCCUCCCAUCUAUCUCUCUCUCUCUCUCUCUCUCUCUCUCUCUCUUCCCUUGUUCCUCUUUCUUCCUCUUCCCCUAAUCCCGUUCCCAGGACCCGUUUUGCUGGCCCACCGAGGGCCGCCCCCCCGCUGGAGGAUGGGAACCGAGGCCCCGCCCGGGGAGUGGGGGCACCCCACCAGGAGGGGCUCAACGAGGCUCCUACCAUCUCCCCACGCCAAUUCCUUGACCCACUUCCUGCCACUAGGGCGGCGGGGAAGCCUGGGCCAGCCUGUUGGCUUUGCGGGGAUCUGGGCCAUUUUGUGGAUCGAUGCCCAGCCAUGGAGGUGGGGACAUUGGUCCGGAUCCCAGAUGACCUGCAGGCCGCCCCCAAUCAAGCCGGGUUAUACCAGAUACCUGUGAGUAUUAAGGGGGGUACUUAUCGGGUUUUGGUGGAUUCAGGUUGUAACCAGACCUCCAUCCAUCAAAGCCUGAUACAAUCCGGGACAUUGGCUACGGGCCGCAUGGUUAAGGUGAGGUGUGUGCACAGGGAUAUAGUGGAAUACCCCCUAAAAGCCAUAUCCAUCAAAUUUAGGGGUCAAAAGCAUUGUGUGGAGGUGGCGGUUAGCCCGCGCCACUGGCAUCCGCUAAUUUUGGGAACCAAUUAGCCGGCUUUUUAACAGUUCUUGGGAUUUUUAACAGCGGAUGUCUCUAGGAAAACGAGAUGGCAGGAAAGGGGGGCGAGCACUCAGGUUGGAGAGACUGUGCCGGGACCCAGUGGGACAGUUUCAGAGGAACCGAGCGGCUUGGCGAGGCUAAACCUCUCCAUUCGUGAUGACUUUCCCCUGGAACAAUCCCAAGACGAGACGCUCAAACAUGCAUUUGAACAGGUCCGUUCCAUCGAUGGGCAGAUCCUCCAACCUGACCGCACGCUCUCCUAUCCUUAUUUUGCCGUUAUUUAAAAACAGGUUGUAUCGAGUGACCCAAGAUGCUCAGACAAAGGAAGAUACAACCCAAUUCACCUCUCACCCUCGCAGCUCACUGACACCACACGUUUACAAAGUUUGCAGAUGUGUUUUUGCCCCUGCCUGGUCGUACUAAUCUGAUUCAGCACCAUAUUGAGACAGAGCCAGGCGUGGUGGUGCACGGACGGCCAUACAGAUUGCCUGAACCCAAAAAUGGUUCAGAUGGAAUUAGAGGCAAUGCUGGAGAUGGGAGUAAUCGAGGAGUCCCACAGUAACUGAUCGAGCCCGAUAGUUUUGGUUCCUAAAACGGACGGCUUGGUGCGGUUUUGGGUGGACUUUCGCAGGGUGAAUGCAGUGUCGAAGUUUGAUGCUUAUCCAAUGCCGCGGAUUGACGAGCUGCUCGAUGGGUUAGGUACAGCUCGUUUUUAUUCGACAUUGGACUUAACGAAAGUAUAUUGGCAGAUCCCCUUAUCUCCCAUGUCCAAAGAAAAAACGGCCUUCACCACGCCGUUUGGCUUACACCGAUUUGUGACGCUUCCUUUCAGGUUGUUCGGGGCCCCGGCCACGUUUCAGCGCCUCAUGGAUAGAGUUCUGCGGCCCCAUGCUGCCUAUUGGCAGCGGCAUCUGGAGCAUUUGAGGGCCGUCCUCGGAGCGCUGAGACAGGCGGGGCUAACGGCCAACCCAGAAGAAGUGCGCAGUUGGGCGGGUGGAGGUAAGGUAUCUAGGCUUCCACUUGGGUCAUGGGCAGGUGCAUCCCCAAAUUGACAAGACAGCAGCAAUUGCAACCUGUCCCAGGCCAAAGACCAAAAAGAAGGUGAGGCAGUUCCUGGGGCUGGCGGGAUUCUCACCAGCCCGCUGACUGACUUCACUAAAAAGGAGGUGCCAGAUAUGGUCCAGUGGACAGAGCAGUGCCAACAGGCUUUUACCCAGGUUAAGGCUGCCCUGUGUGGCGGGCCGCUCCUGCAUUCUCCUAACUUUUCUCUCCCUUUUCUGUUGCAGAUUGAUGCAUCAAACAGGGGGCUGGGCGCUGUCCUGUCCAAGGAGGUGGAGGGGGAGGACCACCCGAUGCUGUACAUUAGUCGUAAGCUCUCAAAAAGAGAGACUAAGUACAGCACCAUAGAGAAGGAGUGUUUGGCCAUCAGGUGGGCGGUACUCACCCUUCGCUAUUACCUCCUGGGGCGGGAGUUCACCCUCUGUUCAGACCACGCGCCCCUGCAGUGGCUCCACCACAUGAGGGAUGGCUCCCCAGCCUGAGUCGGGCAGUGGGGGUAUUUGGCGGGGGAGGCGUGGUUCAGCGAGGUCUGCGACGGGAGAGAGAACAGGGAGACGAGCGGCGGAUCCCUGCAAAUGUGCCGCUCCCUGUUCCCAGAUCGUCAGGAGCUCUGCCUCAAGGGGCCACAGGGUUCUACCUGCUAGUUAAUGGCAUUGCCACCUCCCUCAGCAAAGCGCAGAGACACACAGACUGCAUACAGAAGGCAGCAAGUCUGAGGUGCAAGUCCAUGGACUGCUAAUGAGACUAGAUCUACGGUUUGUGGUGUGCUAAACCUGGCUUCUUUAAUACUAUAUCAAAGGCCCAAUCAAAGGGAUAAUUUCCUCCAGCAGCCUGUCUCUGAGCAUCACUGCACCAACUAAUGGCUGAAAUACAAAGCAAUAUGGAUUAGCACUGUAUCUCAUUUUUGCAGUGUUGUCUAUACACUUGGGUCAUCUGGAAUGACUCAUUGCUCUCUAAUGGCAGUCUGUAUACAGAGCAGAUGAGCGGAGACGUUGUCCUUUAACUGCUAAGAUAAUGAAGUACUGUGGGAUCUGACUUCCGGGCCGGCCAGGGCAGAUUGGAGUAAGUCCGGCCCAGCGCAGGGAACUGCAGUGUGGGGCAGGGCGCCAUGGCAGGUGCCUGUGUCAGCAGUACUGCCGGCCAAGGGGAGAGGUCAAUCUCACACCUCCAGCAGGGUGGUCCCUUCUUCACUUUGGAAUGUCCAAGUAUCUAGUUCGGGGUGGGCAUUAGGCUAACUUCAUACCUCAUUUGAUGUGAGGUCUGUUGAUGUGAUCAAUUGCUUGAGUGAAGUCGCCAGAGUCUUUCAUCAGGCAUCUGCUCACAGAAGGAGGAGCUGUGGUUCUUCACCCUCGACUAGCCAAGCAGAACAACUGGAGGUUACGACAAACUGCGAAGGGGCCUGUGGCUGGAUUCCAGAGGGCUUAAUGCCGCAACACUGGUUAUUUCUCCACCUAAAUUGAAUUCAUUCUAUAGACAUUGGGUGGAUUUUUACUCUAUCGGUGCUUUUUCUAGCUCACAUGUGAGCAUGUGACUGGCACGGGGCGAGGGCGAGAACCAAAGCAUUGGGUUAUAGUGUGAAAAACAGUUAAGCAGAAGGUUGGUUUCCCCUAGCCUCUGUUUGUUGGUCCUGUGGAGAGAAGCCUGGCCGUAGGGGACGCUAGCUGUGGAAAUGGAUUAUGAUCACUACAGAGAGAGCGUGAUAAGGUGAAUGUG
ensembl:lncRNA